rnacentral:rRNA from 1 species
GUUGAUCCUGGCUCAGAUUGAACGCAUGGCAGGCAGGCCUAACACAUGCAAGUCGAGCGGAAACGACACUAACAAUCCUUCGGGUGCGUUAAUGGGCGUCGAGCGGCGGACGGGUGAGUAAUGCCUAGGAAAUUGCCUUGAUGUGGGGGAUAACCAUUGGAAACGAUGGCUAAUACCGCAUGAUGCCUACGGGCCAAAGAGGGGGACCUUCGGGCCUCUCGCGUCAAGAUAUGCCUAGGUGGGAUUAGCUAGUUGGUGAGGUAAUGGCUCACCAAGGCGACGAUCCCUAGCUGGUCUGAGAGGAUGAUCAGCCACACUGGAACUGAGACACGGUCCAGACUCCUACGGGAGGCAGCAGUGGGGAAUAUUGCACAAUGGGCGAAAGCCUGAUGCAGCCAUGCCGCGUGUAUGAAGAAGGCCUUCGGGUUGUAAAGUACUUUCAGUUGUGAGGAAGGGUGUGUAGUUAAUAGCUGCGCAUCUUGACGUUAGCAACAGAAGAAGCACCGGCUAACCUCCGUGCCAGCAG